AUUGUCAGCACGCGUGCCGACAAAUUGCGGGACAUGUUGAAGUGACAAUUUGCCUGCAAUUUUUCAGUACACUGCGCUGUUUGUUUGCAAUGCAACUUAUCAAAAACAGCGAUGAUGUUGCAAUGCAUUUUGUUGUUCAGAAAUUAAGUAAUUUUUUUAAUACAAUAUCCCGUUUCGGAGCAAGGAUGCAAAGCAGACGCCAUCAUAUUUGGAGAUGUGUCUUCUGCAGCAGUCUACGUUUACUCUAGUACCGCGCAGUAGUACAAAUUGGAGCAGCAGUAGCAGUAGAAGUUUAAAUAAACAUAUUUACAAGAGUUAUAAAACGAAAACUAUGUGUGUAGUGCAGUUAUUAACUCUAGUGCAGUAGUUCUCAUGAGUUUUGUGCAGUUCGGAGUCUUCAAAAACAUAACCAUGACAGGGUCAGUACAAAGUUGUAGCAGUAAUUGAACAUCGGCCAACAAAGCCAUGAACAUGCGGUGGGAAGAGGCUGACCAUAGGAAGCAGCUUUUUGGAAAAAAUAAAAUAGGGAAAUCAAUUAAACUACGUUGGAUCACCUUCAUGUAGUCACUGGAAAAGCAGAAGUUAUCAUCGAGGGUAGCAACAGCAUAGAAGGCCACUUAUGAUUUGAACGAGAUGAAGAAGCAGUAACCCAAUCGUUGAUAAGUCGAGAGGCAAUUCCUGGAAAAGCUGUACAUCGCGCCCACCUCGCCUGCGUACAUCUGCGGCUAGAAGGAGGCUGUCCAGGCGGCUGUACAGGAAAGCCCAGCCUUAUCAGCUGCGAGUGAAAAGCUGACAGUUCAUCAGUCUCCAGCAACAUCAACUGGACGACUCUCAACAUUUCCUUUUUAUUUGCCAUAGAUUCCCAUCGUAUAAAUUUACAGUUUUUGUUUACAAUAUAUUUGUAGUUGCAGGUUCACAAACGGAGAGCAGAUUUAAGAAGCUGACCAUCCAUCGCACUUUC